CGGGCGGGAGGAGCCGCCUGGUGUCGGCAACAUGGCAGCGGCCAGCCGGGCCCAGGUGCUGCGGCUGUACCGGGCCCUGCUGCGGGAGAGCCAGCGCUUCGGCGGCUACAACUACAGAACGUAUGCCAUCAGAAGGAUAAGAGAUGCCUUCAGAGAAAACAAGAAUAUAACGGAUUCCGAAAAAAUAGAAGAACUAGUGAAUAAAGCAAAAGCAAACCUAGAGAUUAUUCAUCGGCAGGCUACAUGACAUCCGUCGUUGUCAAAAGGCUGACUCUUUGCGGUACUAUGACAUCCCUAUGUUUAGCAUACUAGUGAGAGACAGUCCCGAAUUCUUGUAGACCAAGUUAUGGAAAGUCAGGUCACUAUUGGCCAACUGUAUUCCACGCAGAAAUUGGUUAUCGAGAGUCCAGGAAACACAUAGCUAUGAGAAGACUGAUCCUGAAGCAACACUGGACCAUCUUCAGCAUCUUACAGUGCCACAUACAGAUGCAUAAAGUCACUGCAUGUCUGAGCUUUUCUGUUCAGCAGAAGAAAUGUCUGAGGGACUCAGUUUUUGGCAACCAAAGUACUAUUUUCUUAUGUUUCACACAUUCUAAAAUGUAUUGCUGUGAUUUACAAUAGCAUGUAAGGUAGUCCUGAAAUCUGUUUGCUUGUAUGUCCCAUGUGAUAAAAUAGUUCCUGCCCUGAUUUGGCAAUAAAAGUUCAUUAAACUACCUGUAACCAGAUACAUUCUUCAGCUGCUGACCUUUUCCCUCACUUUGCAUGAAAGAUGUGUUAGAUUUAAAACCCUUCAUUCAGUUACUAAGAGUAAAUUCUUACUGGUCCUAUUUCAUUUAAAGACAUACAGCAUCUGAAUUAAAUCACUAAAUACAAAGUUCAUUUUAAAUAUUAAAACCGUAUGGUAUGAACAGAGCAAGAACGUUCCUUGGUAUUUCAGGAGUUGACAUAAAAGUUUCACUUGUUUCUUCAGUUUGAGAGUUAACAGUGAGUCAACCAGAGUUAACAAUGCAUCUCAUCCUACCUGUAACAAUGAAUAGAUAGUAAUGUAUAUGACAGAAUGUAAGACCUGCAGCUUGAGAGCUCUAAAAUACAUUUUCACCGCUAACUCCUUUUCUAAUUUUUUUGAGGUACAGCUGUUGGCAGAAAGUGCCAAAUGGUUUCAUGCAAGAUUUCCCUUCUUCAGAAAACUCCUGAAUUCAGUAGAAGAAAAAAAAAUACCUACCUAUGAAAAUAACUCGAGUGCUCUAGGUCAGGAAUCGGAAGUAAGCCUUUACCCAGCAGAAGUGGAACACUCAGGAUAGCUUUUUAUUGCUUCUUUUUAAAUCUGUAGAUUAAUCAACACUUUUAAGAAAAUAUGUGGGUUUUUUUUAAGCUAUAUCUCAUAUGGGUUCUGUUCAAGUCACUGCUUGGCUUAUAUUUGUUUUCUAUUAAAAACUUGAAGAAAAAAUAAUCAGUACAAAGCUUUUUAACAGCAUUUCCAGGGGGUUGCUUUGUUGUUGUUGUCACUGACAUUUUAAACAGAAGCAGAAACUCAAAACUAGUUCCAUGACACCGUGGCCUUUAAAAACCUUUUAUUUUUUCUUGCUUCCCCAAAUUCAUCUUUGUUUAGACCUUGUACUGUUUUGCAUUGCCCAUGCUGUGACAACAUUAUUAAUGCAGAGGAUAGACAAAGUGUCCUAGAACAAACUCACAGUCCUCACUACCAUUUAAAGUAUCCUUUAUAAUUUUGUAGGUAUAUUGAAAUGUAUAGUAAUGCAUUCCAUUAAGUAUAUAGUGUGCAGAAUAAGAUACUAUGACUACCUGAGACUACAAAUUCAGUCUCCAUUUUCACUU